rnacentral:lncRNA from 1 species
ACUGCUCACUGUGGGGGAAGCCAGCUACCAUGCCAGGAGGAUACUCAAGCAUCUCCACGGAGGACUCGUGUGUCCAGGAACCAGGGCCUCCAUCCAGCAGCCAUGUGAACAAAGCUGUCUUGGAAAGCAGAUCCUCCAGCCCCAGUCAAGCCUUCAGAUGACUGCAACCCCAAAGGACAUCUUGACCUCUUUCCACCAAACACUACGAGCCAAAACCACCUCAGUUGCACAACGCAAUAAUGAAGCAUUCCUGACUCAGUAGUAAUCACCAGGAUGUUGGCGACACAUGGUAAGCAAAGCACAGCACAAGCAUGGUAGCCAUAGUUAUCUUCAACAGCAGGAUGCAUGGGCAACGGGCCGAAUAGCUUACCCACACUCCCAGGGCUGUGCAACAGACUAACAAACGUAAGGAAAGUCUCCUCAUUUUCAUAUAAGAUGUACAGGGAGUAGCCACUACUUCUUCUUUGCCUUUUCAUCCAAAUAUGUGCUUUGGGACUGCUGACAAUGGCCCAAAGUCAAAUGCAACUGCUGUCUCUUCCAGAGAUGCUGUGUAGGCACUUCCUUUGUUGAGUAUGAGACUUUCCUCUUCUGCUUCUGAAAGUACGAUGACCUUAGUCAUACGCAAAGGGUAAAUUCUUAUGACGUUGUCUGACGUUAACGGCACAAUUUGAGUAUCUAGCAACUCUCUCGGAUACCAGGCAACAUGCUUCAGAGUCAGAGAGGUUGAACUGGUGAAAAAUCUCUCAGCAACGGGAGUCGUGCUACAAUUCACUGCUGAUUUUCCACCUUCAAAUUCAGAAUUCUUUCCCCAUCUUUUAGGUAAUUCUAAUAUAAGUCCUUUUAUUCCUACAUGAUGCUACAUGAUGUUGUGCUGGGCUUAACAAGGCUUGAUAGAUUUCAAACAGGGGUGCAUUUAUGCAAAGCCGUCUCCGGUACUGCGAGAGGGAGGGCUCCUCACCGGCGCAGCUGGGGCCCCGAAGGCGCAUGACUAAGAAGGCGCUGUCUUCUGCGCCCCACAGAAAGAGCUCUCUGCGAGGCCCAAGACCAGCUUUCUCAUCAACAGCUGAGGAGGCAGUGGCGGCGACGAAGGCAAUGAUGAAGCUGGCUUCUCGGGUUCAGCUGAGCUCUGGUUUUUCCGUCCCUCUCGGAGCCGCAAGAACACGGCGUGGUUGGGCAGCCAGCACCUGCCUUCCUGGUCAGCCUCUUCUCCCUUCCCACCAUCACUGCCCCCAUCUCAACAAGGCCAGUCCGACAAAUUCUGCUUUGGAAAAUCAAAAGGAAAGAAGACACUACACUGACUACAACAAUGGAAUAGAAAUUCCAGGAAGUAAAGAUGCAUUGAGAAGAGAGAAAGCUAUGUCCUGCAAACCAAUUCAAUGUCUGAGCGAUAAUAACGCCCUUCUCAAAUGACAUGUAAUGAAAACUAUAUGUAUAUUGUAUUUGUGUUUAUAUGUAAUAUAUGUACAUAUAUAAGUAUGUUC